rnacentral:rRNA from 1 species
AAUGAACGCUGGCGGCGUGCUUAACACAUGCAAGUCGAACGAGAAAGGCCCUGCUUGCAGGGCCGAGUAGAGUGGCGCACGGGUGAGUAACACGUGGAUAAUCUACCUUCAAAUCGGGAAUAACUGUUCGAAAGGGCAGCUAAUACCGGAUAAAGUCUUUAUGACUUGGGUUGUAUUGAUGAAAGGGAGCCUCUGAUUUAAGCCUCUGUUUGGAGAUGAGUCCGCGCACCAUUAGCUAGUUGGUGGGGUAAAGGCCUACCAAGGCUACGAUGGUUAGCUGGUCUGAGAGGAUGAUCAGCCACACUGGAACUGACACACGGUCCAGACUCCUACGGGAGGCAGCAGUGAGGAAUUUUGCGCAAUGGGGGCAACCCUGACGCAGCAACGCCGCGUGAGUGAAGAAGGCCCUUGGGUCGUAAAGCUCUGUCAAUGGGGAAGAAGUUACGGUGUGUUAAUAGCAUAUUGUAUUGACGGUACCCAUGAAGGAAGCACCGGCUAACUCCGUGCCAGCAGCCGCGGUAAUACGGGGGGUGCAAGCGUUAUUCGGAAUUAUUGGGCGUAAAGGGCACGCAGGCGGUCCUGUCAGUCAGAUGUGAAAGCCCGGGGCUCAACCCCGGAAGAGCAUUUGAAACAGCAGGACUUGAGUACGGUAGAG